rnacentral:antisense_RNA from 1 species
AAGGACUCACAUGCAUCCUCACCCCAAACCACUUAAACAAUUAUGAUUAGGCUAUACAAAACUAGAAUGGAUUCUUGCUCCUUGGCAAUCUGAAGUAGGGAGACAAACCAUAGAGGCAAGAAGUAAAAGAUGAAAGACUCUGCAACAACAUUUGGAUGGGGUUCAGGGACAUCCAGGAUGGCAUCAAGACAUCUUAUCUGGGGCUAUCCUUUGACUCAACUCAAACAAGUCCUCUGCCAUGAUGGCUACAGGGACAUAUGGCCUAGCCUUGUCCUAAAUGGCAUUUCCCCGCUGAUAUGGUUUGGCUGUGUCCCCACCCAAAUCUCAACUUCAAUUGUAUCACCCAGAAUUCCCACAUGUUGUGGGAGGGACUCAGGGGAGGUAACUGAAUCAUGGGGCCCAUCUUUCCGGUGCUAUUCUCGUGAUAGUGACGAAGUCUCAUGAGAUCUGAUGGGUUUAUCAGUGGUUUCUGCUUUUGCUUCUUCCACAUUUUCUCUUGCUGCUGCCAUGUAAGAAGUGCCUUUCACCUGCCACCAUGAUUCUGAGGCCUUCCCAGCCAUGUGGAACUGUUAAGUCCAAUUAAACCUCUUUUUCUUCCCA